rnacentral:rRNA from 1 species
GAUGAACGCUGGCGGCGUGCUUAACACAUGCAAGUCGAACGAAGCACUUUAUUUGAUUUCCUUCGGGACUGAUUAUUUUGUGACUGAGUGGCGGACGGGUGAGUAACGCGUGGGUAACCUGCCUUGUACAGGGGGAUAACAGUUGGAAACGGCUGCUAAUACCGCAUAAGCGCACAGCAUCGCAUGAUGCAGUGGGAAAAACUCCGGUGGUAUAAGAUGGACCCGCGUUGGAUUAGCUAGUUGGUGAGGUAACGGCCCACCAAGGCAACGAUCCAUAGCCGACCUGAGAGGGUGACCGGCCACAUUGGGACUGAGACACGGCCCAAACUCCUACGGGAGGCAGCAGUGGGGAAUAUUGCACAAUGGGCGAAAGCCUGAUGCAGCGACGCCGCGUGAGCGAAGAAGUAUUUCGGUAUGUAAAGCUCUAUCAGCAGGGAAGAUAAUGACGGUACCUGACUAAGAAGCACCGGCUAAAUACGUGCCAGCAGCCGCCGUAA